ensembl:snRNA U6 U6 spliceosomal RNA
GUGCUCAUUUCAGCAGCACAUAUAAUUGGACUGAUACAGAGAGGAUUAGCAUAGCCCCUGCUCAAGGAUGACACGCAAAUUCCUGAAGCUUCCAUAUUUUUA